rnacentral:lncRNA from 1 species
GAUUGAAUCUGAGAAUAUUCAGCAGAUCGUCGCCCACAUCUCUUCCAAAUUAGGCAAUAGUGCUUAUUCUUUAUCUUCUUUGAAAGAUGUUGUGGGAAUACAUGCUCAUUUAGAGAAACUAAAAUCCCGACUUGAAAUAGAAAUUGAUGAUGUUCGGAUCUUAGGGAUCUGGGGAACAGGUGGAAUUGGUAAAACGACAAUAGCAAAAGCCAUCUUUCAUACUCUAUCUUAUCAAUUUAAAGCUGCUUGUUUUCUCGAGGAUGUUAAAGACAAUGCCAAAAAGAAUCAACUGCAUUAUUUACAAAAUACUCUUCUCUCUGAACUGUUAGGAGAAACAGAUGAUUACGUCAAUAAUAAGAACGAUGGGAAGUGCAUGAUUCCGAGCAGACUUUCUUCUAUGAAGGUGCUAAUUGUGCUUGAUGACAUUGAUGAAAGAGAUCAUUUGGAGUAUUUAGCAGGUGAUGUUGGUUGGUUUGGUAGUGGCAGCAGAGUUGUUGUAACAACUAGAAAUAGAGCUUUGAUAAAGAAUGCUGAUGCAAUAUAUGAAGUGCCUACACUACCUGAUCUUGAAGCUUUGCAACUGUUCAAUCAGUAUGCUUUCAAAAAAGAAGUUCCAGAUGAGCGUUUUAAGAAAUUCUCGUUGGAGGUAGUAGAUCAUGCUAAAGGCCUUCCUUUAGCCCUCAAGGUGUGGGGUUCUUUGUUGCAUAGGAAAGACCUAAGUCAGUGGAGAAGAAUUAUAGACUAUAUAGAGAAAAACUAUAGUUCAGGGAUUGUUCAAAAACUCAAAAUUAGUUAUGAUGGGUUGGAUCCCUUAGAACAACAGAUAUUUCUAGAUAUAGCUUGUUUUUUCCGAGGAGAUGAAAAAAAGAAAGUCAUGCAAAUCCUUAAGAGCUGUGAUUUUGGAGCUGAGUAUGGAUUGGAUGUCCUAAUUGAAAAAUCUCUCGUGUUCUUAACUGAAGAUGAUACAAUUGAAAUGCAUGACUUAAUACAAGAUAUGGGUAAAUAUAUAGUGAAAAUUCAGAAGGAUGCGGGCAAAUGUAGCAGAACAUGGGACUAUGAAGAUUUUAAAGAAAUGAUGGACAGCAAUGAAGUAAGUAGGCUAAACAAUACAAUAAUAUUCAAUUUCUAGUUUUCAUAUUCCAAAGACAUAUAGGGUCAAUUCCAUUAUUUGUUCUUCUUACUUCAUAUUUCCGCACUUAAGUCACAUCAGUUUUUUACUUUAGUAGUAGAAGCAAGUAACAUUAACUGUCUAACACUGCCUAGUUCGUCAAGUAGCCACUUUAAUUACCACUGCCUAAUUUGUUUUUUCUUAUGUUACUAAGCCAUGAUUUAGGGUGUGUUUGGUAUGAAGGAAAAUGUUUUCCUAGAAAACAACAGAUUUUUGACUUAUUUUCUCAUGUUUGGUUGGUAUUUUCGGAAAAGAUUUUUUAGUGUUUGAUUUAUUAAUGAAAAUUAUUUUGGAGAAAAUAUCUUUUAUUUUUACUAGAGAGUAGAAAAUAAUUUUUGAAUUGAAAUUGAAAAUAUCUUUUAAAAAUAAACUUGAUUUUUUUUUUGGGGAAGGUUGGGGUGGUGGUGGGUGAGAUGGGGUAAAAAAUAAAGUAAAAUUUGAAAUUAAAAAAUAUUUUUUAAAAACAAACUUAAAUUUUUUUNNNNNNNNNNNNNNNNNNNNNNNNNNNNNNNNNNNNNNNNNNNNNNNNNNNNNNNNNNNNNNNNNNNGGGAGGGGGGGUCGGGGUGAGGGUGAGGGUGGGGUAAAAAAAUAAAAAAAUUGAAGUUCAAAAAUAUUUUUUAAAAAUAAGCUUUAAAUUUAUUUUUUCAACAAAAAAAAUUAUAAUUUGAAGUUGGAGGAAAGUUUUGGAAAAUGUUUUCCUUAAUUUUUGAAGAGAAGUCAUUUUCCUUGAAUUUGAGGAAAAUGAGUUGAUUUGGAAAAUAUUUUACCCAGCCAAACAUGAGAAAAUUGGAAAACAUUUUCCGGAAAAUGUUUUCCUCCAUACCAAACACACCCUUAGUCUAGUAGCCACUUACUCUGUUUAAGCCAACUUCUUUUUUUUGAAAUAACUUGAAUUUUGUUUGAGAUUUUUUAUAUACUAACUCAAUCAGGAAUUCACUUUACCGUUGAAAUUACAAGUUAUUGGCACUACUACUUCACAAUUUUAUUCUGUCACUGCAUGAAAAAACUCUCAGACUUGACUCUAAAGCACUUCUCAGAAAAUGUGUAACUCCAUAGAAAAUUGAACUGUUGAACUAAUUGCACAAAGUAUACUUCUCUUAAGCAACAUAUUUCAUUUAAAAGACCUAACAAAUAUUGUACGCUAAUUUGGCACUGCGAGGAUUGAGGAAGUAAUCAUAUUGGCAAUUGAAUUUUAUACAACAUUUGAAGUUAUACUUUUGUAAAGAAAUGAUCUUUUUUACCAGGGAACCAAGGCAAUGGAAGCAAUCUGGUUUCAUUAUGAUGGGAAAAUAUGCUUUAGCAAAGAGGCCACGAAAAAUAUGGAAAUACUUAGGGUAUUAUACAUAUGGUCCCAAGAUUGCUCCCCUUGCCCUGAUGGCUCCAUUGAGUACCUGCCCAACAGCUUGCGUUGGUUUGUUUGGAAUCACUUUCCUUGGGAGUCAUUGCCAGAAAAUUUUGAACCCGAAAGGCUUGUUCAUCUUCAACUCCGCUUCAGUUCACUGCGUUAUUUAUGGACGGGAAUAAAGGUACAAUAAUUAAAUUCUUGUUUAUUUUUAUUCUCUCUAACUAUCUUUGUCCUUCAGUGAUGCACAAAUACUAUUUCUUUCAGCCUGUUUUAUUUGAUAUACUUUAUAUUUUGGCUUGUUCUGAAUUAUGAUGCGUGUCUUUUAAAUGAAAAGAAGUUGUUAAAUCCAUAAACUCAAAUUAAUAUAUUUUAUAUAACUAAUUUUGACGCACGUGCGUUGCAUGUGAUUGUUAAACCAUGUACCACACUAUUUUUAAAAAUAAUAUGAAUAUUGCUAAAUAAAAAAUUAGUCACUCUUAAAAUCUCUUAGUUACACCUCUUAAAUAAACUUUCUACUCCCUUCGCCAUAGUGCAUUACUUUGUUAUUAUUGUUUUGUAGGUGUUCUUACUUUUUAAAUAUUAAAUAAAAAAAUAUAAAAUAGAUAUUGAUAUCAAAUAUAGAAGAUAUACUAAAAUUGGAUGUUUUUAGCUGGAGUAUUUAGAUUAAUUUAACAUUCAUGUUAUGGAGUGUUCUAAUUUCACUGAACUUUGAGAUUGUCAACGUUUGUAAAUCAAACUUGAGGUUUUAAGAAGAGAAGAAUAGAAAACAUAAAAGACCGUAGUUUAAAAAUGUGAGAAAACCCGUCCAUUUAUAGUUAAAAAUGUGUGGCAUUAGUAUGUGCAUAUUGUUUCUUAUCAUAAAAAUAUAGAAGUGAUGAAGCCCCUUUUUUUAACGGCCAACAAAGGGUAGUGUAUGAAAAACUGCUCGUGGUGCCUUAUCAAAAAGAAGUCACAACCCUUUAGAAAGUCACAACCCUUCAGAAAGGUCAAAACUCAUCGGAAAAGUCAUAAAUCUUCGGAAAAGUCGCAACCCUUCAGAAAAAUCACAACUCUUCGGAAAAGUCGCAACCCUAUAGAAAGGUCACAACCCUUCAAAAAGGUCACAACUCAUCAAAAAAGUUAUAACUCUUCGAAAAUGUCACAACCCUUCAAUGUGAAAAGUUGUCUGACUUUAAUAUAAUAUAAUAUAAUAUAAUAUAAUACACACAAAUAAAUAUAAUACAAUAUAAAAUAUAGAAGAUAUACUACAUUUGGUGUUUUAAGUUGGGGGUAUUAUAAUAAUUUAACAUUUAAGUUAUUAGUUCAUUCUUUUAAGAUAGUAUAUAUUUUAAAAAAAUGAUAGAUAUGGAUUGGUCUAAUUUUAAUUUGAUAUGAAAUUUUAAAAAAUAAAGAAGACUUUUAAUCUAAGGAUCAGAUGUAGAAUAUAUAAAAAUAUCUUUUAAUUUUGUUGUCUUAAAGAUGUGUCCUCACCCCCAAUAAAAAAAGAACAUUCUAUAUUAAACUGAAUAAAAAUAAAAGUACAACAAAUAAAUUGAAAACGAAAGAGUACUUAUUAAAUGUAGUUAGGAUUCUUCAACAAGUUUUUGAUCAAAUACUUUUUCUCCAACAGUUCGAGACUUUUUCAGAUUCUGAACACCAAGUUGUAAUUUGUGCAACGGAAAAUCAUUGAACUUCUUGUCAAGGAAGAGUUGCUGCAAAAGUAUAUUUAUUGGCUAUGAAAAUGAGUGCAUAUUAAUUAUCACGAUACUUUUUCUCGUUUUGAUGUUGAGUUAUUUCAUUCUCCUUUUUGCAUCAAUUUUUAUUGAUCUAUCUAAUUUACCCACAAAAAAAAUAUUGUAAUUGCAUAAUUGAACAACUCUCACAAUCUUCCUUGUUUUAAGUAGAAGAGUAGAAGACUUACAAAAUUUGUAGUUUUAAAGUGUGAGAAACCCCUUUAUUUAUAGACAACAAAGGAUAAUAUGAAAAUGUGCGUAUCGUGUCUUUUUAGAUAAGUCACAACCCUUCAGAAAAAUCACAACUUUUUGGAAAUGUCAUAACUCAUCGAAAAGUCACAACUCUAUAAAAAAAAAGUCAUAACCUUUCGAAAAAGUCACUACCCAUCAAUGUGAAAAGGUGUAUGCAUUUAAUAUAAUAUAGUGUAUAUAAAUAUAAUAUUAAAUACAAAAUAUAUAAUAAAUUGGGUGUUUUAAGUUGGGGGUAUUAUAGUAAUUUAACAUUAAGUUAGGGAGUUAAUGCUUUUAAGGUAGUAUAGUAGAUAGAUAGAUAUAGAUAUAUAGAUAGAUUUUGGGUUAUUCUCAUAUCUAUUACUGGAAGAUCUUUAUGUCGUUUUUCUCCCAAAUCUUCCUAUCAUAUAUUAACUUAUAAGAAGCUAAGUGGUUCAAACAUUUCCCUAGCAAGAUAUGAGUCUCAUCCUAAGAUUGCAUGUAGUGGGACAGACAUGAAGGGUAACUUAUGUACAACUAUUUUAUAGAAAAAUACAAUGUUGAAAUAAAUAGUCAUUGCAUCUAAAGAGAGAAUAAAAAGAAAACACUGUUGGAACUCUACUUGGCUAUUUAUUUAUUUUUAAUUUGGAUAAACGUACUGAAACCUUAGCCAAUAUUUUUUUUACAGAUUCUUUUACCUGUCUGUUCUUGUUUUCCUUUCUCAUCCUUUUUCUGUUCUGAAUACCAGCAUUUUCAGUAUCUACGGACGCUAGAUCUCAGCCGCUCUAGAGACCUGGCGCAAACACCAGAUUUCACGGAGAUGUCAAAUUUGGAGUAUUUGGAUUUGGGCAAUUGUAUUAAUCUUGAAGAGGUUCACCAUUCCCUGGGAUGUCGCACAAAACUCAAGAGGUUGAAUUUGAUAUAUUGUAGACUCCUCGAGAGGUUUCCAUGUGUUAACGUGGAAUCUCUUGAAUAUCUGGAUCUAAAGUUCUGCUCUCGUUUAGAGAAAUUUCCAGAAAUCCGUGGAAGAACGAAGCAGAACUUAGAGAUUAAGAUGUGGGACUCUGAGAAAAGGGAACUUCCAUCAUAUAUUGUUCAGUGCCUAACUCUAAGACAUUUGGAUAAUCUUGUAGCUCUUCCAAGCAGCAUUGGCAUGUUGGAAGGUUUGGUUAUUCUUGAUGUGUCGAAUUGCUAUAAACUUGAAAGCUUGCCAGAAGAUCUAGGCGAUUUAGUAAACUUGGAGAAGGUUGACGCAUCAGGUACUCUAAUUUCACUACCUCCGUCUUCCAUCGUCUGCUUGAACAAGCUUACAUUCAUGAGUUUUGCGAAACAAAGAUAUAACGUAAGUCUCGAAGGGGGAGUGUACUUUGAGUUCCCUCAAGUGAAUGAAGGGUUACACUCAUUGGAAGAUCUGGAUCUCUGUUACUGCAAUUUAAAAGAUGGAGGACUUCCGGAAGACAUUGGAUCCUUAUACUCUUUGGAACACUUGAAUCUCCAGGGAAAUAAUUUUGAUCAUUUACCUCAAAGCAUAGCCCAACUUGGUGCUCUUCGAUCCUUGAACUUAUCAAAUUGCAAGAGGCUUACACAGCUGCCAGACUUCAUGGGGAUGCCAAACUUGAUGACGCUGAAUCUCAGUAUAAUUAACAUUGAGCGUUUGCCUCGAAGCAUAGAACAACUUAGUGCUCUUCGAUCCUUGGACUUGUCAUAUUGUGAGAGGCUUAAAGAGUUGCCAAUCUUCAUGGGAAUGCAAAACUUGGAGACUUUGAAUUUGUCAAAUUGUAUAAAUCUUGAAGAGGUUCAUCGUUCCCUGGGACUUCUCAAAAAGCUCUGUACAUUAAAAAUGACUAAUUGUAAACAGCUUAAGAGGUUUCCAGCUCUGUGCAUUGAUUCUCUUGAUUAUCUGUGUCUACGGGAUUGCUCUAGUUUAGAAAAAAUUCCAGAAAUCCUCGGAAACAUGAAAGCUGAGUUAGAGAUUCACAUGCUCGACAGUGUAAUAAGGGAUCUAGGUUUUAGAGGUUUUGAAAACCUUGCAACACUUCCGAGCAGCAUUUGUAAGUUGAAAAGUUUGGUCAGCCUAAAUGUGUCGGAUUGCUCUAAGCUUAAAAGCUUUCCAGAAGAAAUAGGAGAUUUAGAAAACUUGGAAAAUCUUGAUGCUAGAGGUACUCUAAUUUCACAACCUCCAUCUUCCAUUGUCCAGUUGAAGAAGCUUAAAUUUUUGAGUUUUGCAAAACAAAAUUCUGGAGGAGGUCUCGUAGAUGGAGUGUACUUUAGUUUCCCUGUGGUGUCUGAUGGAUUACGCUUGUUGGAGAUUCUGAAUCUCAGUUACUGCAAUCUAAUAGAUGGAAGUCUUCCGGAAGACAUUGGAUCCUUAUCCUCUCUGAACGAGUUAUAUCUCUCUGGAAAUAAUUUUGAGCAUAAACUUGGCGACUUUGAAUCUGUCAAAUUGUAUGAAUCUUGAAGAGGUUCAUCAUUCCCUGGAAUGUCUCGAAAAUCUCUGUACAUUAAAGUUGACUAAUUGUAAAAGGCUCAAAAGGUUUCCAGUUCUGUGCAUUAAUUCCCUUGAAUAUCUGAAUUUAGAGGGGUGCUCUAGUUUAGAAAUGUUUCCAGAAAUCCUCGGAAGCAUGGAUUUGAAGUUAAAGAGUGGGUUAAAGUGCCUAGACUUGAGAGGUUUAGAAAACCUUGUAACACUUCCGAGCAGUAUUUGUAAGUUGAAAAAUUUGGUGGAGCUAAAUGUGUCGGCAUGCUCAAAACUUGAAAUCUUACCAAAAGAGAUAGGGGAUUUAGAGAACUUGGAGUGGCUUGAUGCCGAAAAUACUCUAAUUUCGCAACCUCCACCUUCCAUUGUCUGUUUGAACAAGCUUUAUUUUUUGCAGUUCGCUAAACAAAAAUCAGAAGUAGGCCUCGAAGAUGGAGUGUGCUUUGAUUUCCCUGCGGUGUCUGAUGGAUUACGCUUGUUGGAGAUUCUGAAUCUCAGUUACUGCAAUCUAAUAGACGGAGGUCUUCCGGAGGACAUUGGAUUCUUAUCCUCUCUGAAUGAGUUAUAUCUCUCUGGAAAUAAUUUUGAGCAUUUGCCUCAAAGCAUAGCCCAACUUGGUGCUCUUUGGUCUUUGGACCUAUCAGAUUGCAAGAGGCUUAAAGAGUUGCCAGGUUUCGAAGGGAUGAAAAACUUGGCGACUUUGAAUCUGUCAAAUUGUAUAAAUCUUGAAGAGGUUCAUCAUUCCCUGGGACGUCUCAAAAAGCUCUGUACAUUAAAGUUGACUAAUUGUAAAUGGCUCAAGAGGUUUCCAGUUCUGUGCAUCGAUUCCCUUGAAUAUCUGAAUCUAGAGGGGUGCUCUAGUUUAGAAAAUUUUCCAGAAAUUCUCGGAAGCAUGAAAGUGAAGUCGGAUAUUGACAUGUUAGACAGUGUGAUGAGGGAUCUAAAUUCCAUGUAUAUCUCACUUCCACGUUCCUUGUCUCAGUAUAUCGUUUCCUUGCCGAAUGCCAUCUCUGGUUCAGAUCCCUUGUCACAAAGAGUGUUUACCAUUGUGCACGGUGGGAAUAAGAUCCCAAGUUGGUUCCACUAUCAGGGAAUGGAUGAAAAUGUAUCGAUCAAUUUGCCUGAAAAUUGGAAUGUGUCGGAUAACUUCUUGGGAUUUGUUGUAUGUUACUCUGGCAACUUAGUCGACACCACAGUUGACUUGAUUCCCUUAUGUGAUGAUGGGAUGACCCAGAAACUAGAAUUAUCCUUCCUUCCAAAUUAUGAUACAGAAUUAUCCGACGAUUCAGAAUGUGAUACUGAACCUACGAUUCAUUUUUUCUUGGUAUCUCUUGCUGUCUUAUGGGAAACAUCUAAGGCAAAUGGAAAAACACCUAAUGACUAUGGGCUUAUUACAUUAUUGUUCUCCGGAGAAACGAAGGAGUUUGGAUUCCGUUUGUUGUAUAAAGAUGAACCAACAGAACAUUGCAUUGGGACACCAUGAUGAAGCCAAUUGCUCCUCGUCUAAGAAACAAAGCUCUUAUUUCUAAUAUUCAUUGGAGCUGUCUUUGAGAAUCUGCAGCAACAACCAGUCUCUUUCAGAAACUUUGCAGCUCUCUCCCCCAAGCCCAGAAUUUUGUCUUAAAUAUAGGUAAUAUACCUCAUGAUUGUUUUUCCCCUAGUUGGUAGUGAAAUUCUGUUCAACUCUCUUUUUAUGUACUUCUCUCCUAUUAGCUACAAAGUCUUCUUCCAAUUCUGUUAAUAACUAUUUCAUUCUUUCCUUUUUUUUUCUUUAUUCUUUCCCGUACUGACAGGAGCUCAUCAAUGGUGAUGUAUGUAUCAACAGUGAGUUUUGUUGAUUGAUUCUCCAUCUUGUGUUAAGCCAUGAUUAACCAUGGUGAGUUAAAGGAUGUGAGCAAGUUUUUUUUUUGAUACUCAAAUCAGAUCCUGGAAUCAUUCAAUCUUCAUAAAUUCUUACCUUAAAAUGUGCUCACAAAUGAAUAGAAUAAUCCUACAUUUUAUCCUGGUAUUUUUAUCACUUAUCCCUCAUACCAAAUAACCCUUAGGGUCAUUUGGUUGGGAACAAGUUAUCCUGGGAUAAGUUAUUCUACUAUGUAUAUGGAAUAACUUAUCCCAUCAAUGAUCAAUAUAGUAUAAAAUUAUAAAUGGUGGGAUAAAUAAUUCAAAGACUACCUAAUACCUCCGACCAAACACAUGAUAAAAUUAUCUUGCAUUUAUCCCUAGAAUAUUAUACCUUAUAUCUCACACCAAACGACUUCAUAGAGUAUUGGAAACAAAUUUCUCGUAAGUUCUAUAUUAUACUCAAUUUUGUUUUUCGACUUGUUCAUUUGUGGUUCUUUUUACAAUUCAAUUGGCUCUAAAGUGAUUUUCUGAAAUCAAGUAUUUUUUGUUUCUUUAAUUAGUUCACACACCUUUUUCAGUGAGAAUGAAGGACCAGGAUUCCUACUUAGAAUCAAUUAUCAUAUUCAUUUUGAAGUAUCAUUUCAGAUGAAUACUUCAAUUGCUAUUUCCAUUGUUCAAAUUGGGUGAUCCGCAAUCGGAGUCUUUGAUAAGGACUUAUAUCUAAACCUCUUUGGUUUGCUGUGUGAUGUUUUAGCAUCAAUCCCCUACAUUUGAAAAAAAAAAUGGAAUAGUUCUCAACUAAUCUGUAGAUGCUUAUAUAUCAUAUUACUUCUUCAAGUAAGGGAAACAUUCUCUUAGUUCUUCAUUUAAUUAUGUGCUGUAUUAGUUACAGAACUAGUUUUUCCUCCAUGCAGUAAAUUUUAGUGGGGUUUUCAGGCCUGUGCAGUUGACAGUUAACUAAGCAGGAGCAAUAGACUGAACUCUGAAGAUGUUUGAUGAAGUGAGCACUCUGAAUUUCAUUUCUAGAACGUAACUCGAAUUUUAAUUUAUAGAACUAAUCUUGAAUGCUACAGAUGCUUACUAUUGUGAUGGCAAUCUUAUCUGAAAGAACCAACUCUUUUAUAACUAACUCUUUUAUAACUGAUGUUCACCAUUUUACUUGCGAAAUAAUUUUCAUUUUAGAAAAACCAGAAGUUUCUUGAACAUUACAUAACUUUAAAAGCUUUAUGUGGGAUGACUCUGUUUAGCACUUUUAAUUCCUCUAAUUCUAAAUUGAACCUCCACAUUUAACUUGUCACUAAGAGUGUUCAUCAUUGAGCAUCCUGAGAAGAAGAUCCCAAGUUGGUUCCACCAUCAGGGAAUGGAUAACUUCUUGGGAUUUACUUUGUCAAGUUUGAAAACAUGGUUUUGAAAUUCAGUGUUUGCAAAGCCUUGAGGCUGCUUGACAUAUACGUCCUCCUUUAGAAUCCAUUCAGGAAGGUACUUUGCACAUCCAUUUGAUGGAGUGUGAAUUCCAUAUAGGCAGCAACUGUUGCCUUGUUACAAAUGAGAGAAAAUAAUGAUGAACCAACAGAGCAUCUCGUUGUGACAGGUACAAGCAGAUACGGAAAUUGUGAACAACAUUACUCCGUGACCAAUGAAGCCAGUUAAAAUGUCAAAUACUCAAUAACAUUAGAAACAAAGGCCAUAUUUCUUAAAUAUAGGUAAUAUACCUCAUGAUUUUCUUUUUCCCGUUUGUCAUGAAACUGUGCUCUCUCCCUCCUAUCAUCUACAAAAUCUUCUUCUAAUAUUGAUAAUUAUUUUAUGCUGAUUCUUCUUUCUUUUUCCCAUUGUGUUUUCUUUCUUCUUUCCCUUAUUGACAGGAGCUCAUCAAUGGUUUGAUUUACAUAUAAUCAGUAAAUUUUAUCAAUUGAUUCUUCAUCGUAUAUCCGCUUGUGUGAGCCAUGAUUAACCCAGGUGAGUUGAAGGCUAACAUGAAAUUAAAAUUUUCAAUGCUUAGAUCAGAUUCUGGAAUCAUGCAACAUUAAUUCAGUUGGUACCUAAAAGUACUCGCAAAUCAAUUGGUUGAAUUUGAAAAUAAGUGCUCUAAAAUGAAAAGAUAAUGCUACAAAUUGAGGGAAAUUACGAUGAAGUAAUAGCCACUAUUUGAGUUAUGGAUGCCAGAAAUUUAUGCUGUCAUUUUGAAGAGAUUUCAAGAAGUGCAGGCAAGUCACAGGAAAAAUGAAAAUCCUUGAUAGUACCAUAUGCUCGAAUUUCCAUAUGGACAAUAGAGCUGCUUUACCCACAGGAGCACUUUUUUUUUUUACAAUUUAACUGGCUCUAAAAUGGUUUGUGAAGAUAAAUUAUUGUCUCCUUGAUUAGUUUACUCACCUUUUCAGUGAGAAUGAAGGACUAGGAUUUCUCCUUAGUAAUCAAUUAUCAUAUUUGUUUUGAAGUAUCAUGGUCUUUUUGGCAGAUGAAUAUUUCAAUUGCUAUUUCCUUUGUACAAAUUGGCUAAUUGGAGUCUUUCGUAUGGACAUGCAGCUAGAAUAUUUGGCUUUGCUGUGUGAUAUUUGAGCUACAAUCAUAGUUGGCAAAAAAUGCAUAGGUCUCAACUUAAUCUGUAUCCAGAUUCCUCAAGUAAGGGAACAUUCUCCUCGAUCUGAUAAUCUCCAUUCCCCCAAGUAGAGCUUCAAUCCAAGACUCAAAGAAUAGUUAUGAAACUUGUUUAAACCAUUUCAAUAUAAUUUUCAUUUUGGAAAAACCAGAAGUUCCUUGCACGUUAUGUGUCAGUUUAACCCUUCUGCAUCAAAUGUUUUCAUGUCGAAAGGUAAUGAUCAUUCUCUAACUUUUGCAAUACACUUCCGCAGGAGCCAUUUUCAUCUUUGUACCAAGUAAAAGGUGAGUUCAAUUUGUAUACAUUUACUGUAUGCAUUCUGCUUUUUUGAGUACUGAGUUUUAUAUUGACUUUGUUGUAUGAUUUUCAUUUGAUACCCUCUCCGAAUGUUAUUGUUGGGAUUCUUUAAAAAUUGGGCUUCAAAGAUCACGUGUAGUGUGAUACACAGUUUUGUGUGGGCUCAAAACUUCAUUAAUCCGUUGUUAUUUUGUUCCAGUAUAUAGUUUGAGUACAGGUAUAACAGUUAUAUUAGCAGAAAUCUCUGUUUUAAAUAUAAGUAUAUCUCUUGUUAUAGCAGGGAGGUUCAAUCAAAGAUGCAGCACAAUGUGAGACGGUGGAGCAAGAGAUGCAGGUGAGGUUCAACCUUGCUCAUGAUCUCCUUCAGUUUUCUUAUGCUUCUUUUGAAGGAAAAUGCGAAACAUAAGAAACCUAGUCUUUGUGUUAACUUUUAAUUACAACAGACAAAAUGUGUUACCAUUUGCAAAAACAUCAGAUAAAUUUCAGAAUUAUAGCUGUGAUAGUGUUAAUGGCUAUAGCCUAUAUAUGACCUUCCAUCUCUUAUUAAGCCAAGAUUGAAUGCACCAAUUGUCUGUUGUCUGGCUUGUUAACUUCGACCUCUAUAAAAGUAAUAAGUAGCAUCUAUGUUUUGAUUACUUAUAAGUAGUUUUGACAAGUUUCACUCUUUUGGUUUUGGUUCACGAUUGCAGUGCAAAGUGGGACCAUGAUUGCUUUGAGAACAACACCGGUAACACUGCCUAUGAAUGGGCACAUAUUUCCUCUGUUUGUUACAGAACAACUAGUGUCUUGGAUUACUUAGAGAAUAACACCGGUGACACGGCCUAUGAAGGGCACAUGCUUUUCCUCUGUUUGUAACAGAACAAUUAGUGUCUGGGCCUGAGAAAGAGAUUCACGAGAUCUUUAUAUCCUGGUAUUAUUAUUAAAGGUCAUGUCUUCUUCUUUUACUUGGAUUUAUUGCACUUGAGCCGAGGGUCUUUUGGAAACAGCCUCUCUAUCCUCACGGGGUUGUGAACUUGUGGUGAGGUCUGUGUACACAAUACCCUCCUAGACCCCACUUGUGGGAUUCACUGGGUAUGUUGUUGUUGAUUAUUAAAGGUCACACCACACCUCUCCUAGACCAGAAUGCUGCAUUUCAUUAUGAACUAAAAUCACACCUUCACAUUUACUGAUGAGUAGCCUGUCCAUAAUCCUAUUGCAGAUGAAUGUGUGAGAAACAAGAAAACUUCACCAAAACGGGUGGAUGAAAGAAGCCAUGGAACUAUCAGUAAGUCGCCUCACAUCACAAAGCAAACGGAACAAAGGGAAACUAUUUCCAGGAAUCGAAUGUAGCUUGGUGGUUGAGCAACUAUUCUUCCUUUGGAUGUAGAGCUCAAAUACUCUCUGACACUAUCAAGCAAGCGUAGAGUUUAUUGACAUCGAUCCACUAUCAAAUCUACAUGUGGUAGAAAUAGUUGGUAGAUAGGAACUAAACACUGAAACUGUCAAUCCAAUCCAAUGUCAAAGGAACAACCAGCAGGGUUUUCACUGCAAGUUUUCGACCAAACUCCAGAUUGCAUUACCAAUGCAUUCUGGGCUGGCAAAGCAGGCACUGUUUACCCGCGUAAAAAUAGUCAGCGUAGUUUUUCCACCCUUCUGGGACUGUAAAUAAUCCUCCUAGUGCUCAUGAUACUUACUCUAACUCCUACUGCUUUAUCUAAUGCUACUAUGCAAUCAACAAAUGUUCAACCCUGCUAUGUAACCACUCUGUGUAAUAACUAGUGUGUUUAAUAUAUCAUCUUUUCUACCAAAAAAAAAAAACAGUUGUCAAACAAGAAGAAAAUGAGUCAAGUCUAGCUGAGCUGUUGGUGACAAAGAAAUUACCCUUCUUUUUCUUGGCUGCUUCAUCAGCUUUAACUUUUUGUUGUACAUUGUGUACAAUUUUCUGUAGAGUAUGGAGCCACUUUAGGGUAGGUAGGUCUAAUGCUAUCACAGAAAUUUCCUACUACUUACCUCUUUACAGCAUUUAUACAAGUUGACUAAUUCAAUUGGAGUAGACCCCAUCUUCAUACAAACUUUACAAAAGAUCAUCAAUUCUCUCAUAUAACAACCACAAUUUUUCUGUAAAAGGUGUCAGGAGGUUCAGGUGCACUGACGAGCCUGUACGAAUUUGAGAUAUUAACUGGCAUUAUUAAUGUGAUCGCCAUGCGGUGUUUUAUCAUUAGUCUUAAAGGGGUUAAUUGGAGCUUUUCUAUUAGCCAAGGUCUAAACCUAUAAUUAGUUUGUAAAGGAAUUCCGAUUCUAGCAAUACGACAACAAUACAUUAUUUUCAUAAAUCCCACGUUGGAGCACCAAUUAAAUCUGAAUUGCGUAUUGCAGGGCUGUUAAGGAUCGGAGUGACGUUCCCAACAAAAAAUUUUCCAUGCCCAAGGCUUGAACAUGAGAUUUCUAAUUAAGGGUGAAACAGUCAACCAUAACCUGGUUAGUUAAGGGGUCUCGGAUAGACUUGCAAACACACUGAAACAUUCAGAUCUAUACUCCUGCACUUUAUUUAUCUUAUUCACUUUGUUUUAACCCUAAAUCAAUAUUCAAACGGCUAGUAAAUGAAUCUAAAUAUAGUUGGAAAUACUUACCAGUUGACUAGAAGUCAAUGGUUUUGGCUCCCCUCCACUCCAGUAUGUCAUCUCUCCAAAAUAUAAUGAAUUGUUCAUAUUUACUCUCAAAAAACCCAAUCAUUGGUCAACAAUAACAUGUUUUCUCUCUUUUGAUCUCCAUUGCCAGACAAGAAUUCCACCCCCAUUACCUUCCAAAUCUUCCAAGAAUUGAUGGCAUCAUCAUCUUCUCCUUCUGAGAGUAAUUCACAGUAUUCAUGUCCUCAACGGAAGUACAAGUACGAUGUGUUUCUAAGUUUAAGAGGCACAGAUACUCGCAAAAAUUUUACAAGUCACUUGUACAAAGCUUUGACGAACAGGGGAAUAGUCACCUUUCUAGAUGAGAAAAGGCUAGAGAAUGGUGAUUCCCUCUCGAAAGAACUAGUGAAAGCUAUAGAAGAGUCUCAAGUUGCUGUAAUCAUCUUCUCAAAGAAUUAUGCUACGUCGAGGUGGUGCUUGGAUGAAGUAGUGAAGAUUAUGGAAUGCAAGGAAGAAAAUGGACAAUUAGUCAUACCAAUCUUCUAUGAUGUGGAUCCAUCACAUGUUCGAUACCAAAGUAAGAGCUUUGCAAAAGCCUUAGCCAAACACGAAUCGAGGUAUAAGGAUGAUGUGCAACGAUGGAGGACUGCUCUAAGUGAAGCUGCAGAUCUAAAAGGAUAUGAUAUCCGUGAAAGGUGAGUUUGGAUGUGAAAUUCUACUUAUUCUCGUCUCUCUUAUCUGUAUAUAUCAAUAAUGUUGUUAUUUUUUGUAGGAUUGAAUCACACUGUAUUGAGGAUCUUGUUAAUGAAAUUUCGCCCAAAUUAUGCACGACUUCUUUAUCUUCUUUGAAAGAUAUUGUGGGAAUAGAUGCUCAUUUAGAGGAAGUCAACUACCUUCUAGAGAUGACAAGCAAUGAUGUCCGGAGGGUGUGGAUCUGGGGAACUGGGGGAGUUGGUAAAACGACAAUAGCAAAAGCUAUUUUUGAUAUACACUCAUCUAAAUUUGAUGGUUCUUGUUUCCUUCAGGUCAGUAAAGAAAACAAGCAUGAGAUACAUUCUCUGCAAAGUAGUCUUCUCUCUAAACUGGUAGGGGAAAAAGAAAGUGUGAAUGAUAAGGAGACAGGGAGGGACCUGAUUUCUCAUAGACUUCGUUUGAAGAAGGUUCUAGUUGUGCUUGAUAACAUAGAUCAUGAUGACCAAUUGGAUUACCUAGCAGGGAAUCUUGGUUGGUUUGGCAGUGGCAGCAGAAUAAUUGCAACAACGAGAGACAUGCAUAUCAUACGGAAAAACGAUGCCGUAUAUCCUGUGACUACACUACUUGAACAUGAUGCAGUUAAGUUGUUCAACCAAUAUGCCUUCAAAGAUGAAGUUCCAGAUAAGUGUUUCGAGGAGAUAACGUUGGAGGUAGUACGUCAUGCUCAAGGCCUUCCAUUAGCCCUGAGAGUGUGGGGUUCUUCCUUACGUAACAGGGAUAUUAUUUGGUGGAGGAGUGCUGUUGAUCGAAUAAAGAGGAACCCUAGUUCAACAGUUGUUGAAAACCUCAAAGUAAGUUAUGAUGGGUUGGAGCGUGAAGAUCAAGAGAUAUUUCUAGAUAUUGCAUGCUUCUUAAGAGGGAAAAAAGUAACCGAAAUCAAGCAAAUUCUUGAGAGCUGUGGUUUUGAAGCUGAUUACGGAUUGAGUGUGCUAAUUGACAAGUCUCUUGUGUUCAUCUCUGAAGAUACGAUUGAAAUGCAUGACUUAAUACAAGAGAUGGGAAAAUAUAUUGUGAAAAUUCAAACGGAUGCGGGCGAAUGUAGCAGAAUAUGGGAUUUUGAAGAAAUGAUGAUCAACAAUAAAGUAAGUAGGCUAAACAAUACAAUAAUAUUCAAUUUCUAGUUUUCAUAUCCCAAGACAUAUAGGGUCAAUUCCAUCAUUUGUUCUUCUUGCUUCAUAUUUUCGCACUUAAGUCACAUCAAUUUUUUACUUUAGUAGUAGAAGUAAGUAACAUCAAUUGUCUAACACUGCCUAGUUCGUCAAUUAGCCACUUUAACUACAACCGCCUAAUUCGUCUUUCUUGUGUUACUAAGUCAUGAUUUAGAGCCUGUUCGGAUUGUUUUUUUUCGAGUGCUUUUAAGCUGAAAUUUCUUUUAAGCACUUCUAUAGUGUUUGAGUAAAAUAAAAAUAUGCUUCUAAGCACUUGUUUUUAAGUCAAAAAGAUAAAACUAAGCCAAAAGUUUUAAGCCUAUCCAAACAAGCUCUUAGUCUAGUAGCCACUUACUCUGUUUAAGCCAACUUUUUUCUUUGAGAUAACUUGAAUUUUGUAUGACAUUUUAUAUAUACUAACUCAAUCAGGAAUUCACUUUACCGAUGAAUUUCUUAUUUGAAAAAAUUAUAAGUUAUUUGCACUACUACACUUACAAUUUUAUUCUCUCACUGCAUGAAAAAACUUUCAGACUUGACUCUAAAGAACUUCUUAGGAAAUGUAUAACUCCAUUAGAAAAUAGAAUUGUUGAAUUAAUUGCACUAAGUAUUUCUCUUAAGCAACAUAUUUUGUUAAAUAGACCUAACAAAUUGUAAGUUAAUUUGGCACUGCAAGGAUUGAGAAAGUAAUCAUAUUGGCAAUUGGAUUUUAUACAACAUUUGAAGUUAUACUUUUGUAAAGAAAUGAUCUUUUUUACCAGGGAACCAAGGCAAUGGAAGCAAUCUGGUUUCGUGAUGAUAAAAAUAUAUGCUUUAGCAAAGACGCAAUGAAAGAUAUGGAAAAACUUAGGAUAUUAUACAUAUGGUCCCAAGAUAACUCCCUUUGCUCCAUUGAGUACCUGCCCAGCAACUUGCGUUGGUUUGUCUGGAAUCACUUUCCUUGGGAGUCAUUGCCAAAAAAUUUUGAACCCAAAAGGCUUGUUCAUCUUGAACUCCGCUUCAGCUCACUGCAUCAUUUAUGGACGGGAAUAAAGGUACCGUUUUAUUUGAGAUACUUUGUAUUUUGGGUUGUCAUGCUCGUGUUCAAAUGAAUUAAGUUAUUAUAAUAUCUUUUAGGUCGUUUUCUUUCAAAUCGUUGCAUCAUAAUUUUAACUAAGAAGCUCAAUUUAACAACUUGUGUUGUUUUCAUUACUCUCUUUGUUAUCAUUUAUCCUCCCGGCGAGUCCCAGGUUGAGAUCCAUGCUUCCACGUGACAUCUUUUGAAACAAUAUAUAUACACACACUUUUUAACCUUUUUAAGUUUUGGACCAAAAUUUUAAAAUACAUGCUGGAACUCCAUUACUUGGGCUAAAAAUUUUCAUUUUAGUAAAAGUAAUGGGGUUUCAACCAGUUUUUUCUCACAGGCUUGGCCCGAAAAAGAAAAAUACAAUGUUGAAAUAAAUAGUCAUUGCAUCUAAAGAGGAACUAGAAAGAAAACAUAGUUGGAACUUUACUACCUUGGCUUAAUCUUCUUUUUAUGUGGAUAUUCAUAAUGAAAUUUCAACCAACUGUUUUUACAGAUUUGGUCUGGAAAAAACAAUACACAAUUAGAAUAAAUAGUCAUUGCAACUAAAGAAGAAAAAAAAAAUUACACAAUCCAUUAUUUUGGCUAAAAAGUUUAUGUUUGGCUGAAAAUCAACGGAACUGCAACCAAAAAUCUUUUAUAUACAUAUUUUGCCCCCCAAAAAAUACACACUUGAAAUAAAUAGUCACUGCAUCUAAAGACGAAACAAAAAGAAAUAUGUAGUUGGAACUGAAUCAUUUUGGCAUAACUUUUCUGUUUGGCUAAAACAGUGGAAUUCUAGCCAAGUUACUUUGCUAUGGAUUUGGUCCCAAUAAAGAAAAAAAUACACAAUUAAAGCAAAUAGCCAUUACAUCUAAAGAAUAAAAAAAAAUACAAAUUUGGGUUAAAAUGGGCAUUCUAAUUAAGAAGAAGCAAGAAGAGAUUUGCGAAAAAUAUUCCACUUGGAAGCUUAUUUUUCAAUUAAACACAGGUCAUUUGAUUCAUAGAUAAGCCCCUAGCUAAAUCUAAAUCCAAGGCAGCUACUAUUGUUGUUUUCCUAUAUAACUCAUUCUUUCUAUAUUCUGAAUAUAUUGCAGCAUUUGCCGUCUCUACGGAGGCUAGAUCUCAGCUACUCCAAAAACCUGAGGAAAACACCAGAUUUCACGGGGAUGCCUAAUUUGGAGUAUUUGAAUCUGGAGGAAUGUUCGAGUCUUCUAGAGGUUCACCAUUCCCUAGGUGGUUGCAGAAAACUCAUUAAAUUAAAUUUGCGAAGUUGUGGACACCUAAAGAGGUUUCUAUGUGUUAAUGGGGAAUCUAUUGAAUAUCUGCACCUAGGUGGUUGCUAUAGUUUAGAGAUAUUUCCAAGGAUCUGUGGGAGAAUGAUUCACGUGGAACGCUCUGGGAUAAGGGAAGUACCAUCAGCUAUUAUUCGGCCCCAAUCUAGUUCUACAGAGCUAGAUUUGAGUGACAUGAAAAACCUUGCAACACUUCCAUGCAACAUUUGCAAGUUGAAAGGUUUGGUGAAGCUAAAAGUGUCCUACUGCUCAAAGCUUGAAAGCUUGCCAAAAGAGAUAGGUGAUUUAGAAAACUUAGAGGAGCUUCAUGCCACAGGGACUCUAAUUUCACAACCUCCACCUUCCAUUGUCCGCUUGAACAAGCUUAAAUUCUUGACUUUUGCAAAUAAUCAAUUAGAAGAUGGAGUGUGCUUUGUGUUCCCUCAGGUGAAUGAAGGGUUACUUUCAUUGGAGAAACUGGAUCUCAGUUACUGCAAUUUAAAAGAUGGAGGACUUCCGGAAGACAUUGGAUCCUUAUCCUCUUUGAAAGAGUUGAAUCUCGAUGGAAAUAAUUUCGAGCAUUUGCCUCUAAGCAUAGCCCAACUUGGUGCUCUUCGAUCCUUGACCUUAUCACAUUGCAAGAGGCUUACACAGCUGCCAGAAUUUCCACAGCAAUUAGAUACAAUAAAUGCAGAUUGGAGCAAUGAUUCAAUCUGUAAUUCAUUGUUUCAGAAUAUCUCAUCAUUGCAGCAUGAUAUCUCUGCUUCAGAUUCCUUGUCACUAAGAGUGUUUACAAGUUGGGGGGAGAAUAUCCCAAGGUGGUUCCACCAUCAGGGAAUUAUGGAUACAAGUGUAUCAGUCAAUUUGCCUAAGAAUUGGUAUGUAUCGGAUAAGUUCUUGGGAUUUGCUGUAUGUUACUAUGACGAAUUAAUUGAUGACAUCACUGCUCAUUUGAUUCCCUUAUGUGAUGAUGGGAUGUCGUCGAUGACCCAGAAAUUUGCCUUAUCCAACCAUUCAGAAUAUCUUGAGAAAUAUGCUAUUCAUUUUUUGUUGGUACCUCUUGGUGGCUUAUGGGAUGCAUCUAAUGCAAAUGGAAAAACACCAAAUGACUAUGGGCUUAUUAGGCUAUCUUUUUCUGGAGAAAUGAAGGAGUUUGGAUUUCGUUUGUUGUAUAAAGACGAACCAAAGCUUGAGGGAUUGUUACAAAUAAGGGAAAACAAUGACUCCAUGGCAUCAUCUUCUUCUUCUGCUAAAUCGUCACAGUUGCCUCAACGGAAGUAUGAUGUCUUCCUAAAUUUUAGAGGUGAAGAUACCCGCACAACAUUUACGGGUCACUUGUACCAAGGUUUGAGAAACAGGGGAAUAUUCACCUUUCAAGGUGACAAAAGGCUAGAGCAUGACGAUUCUAUCCAAGAAGAACUCUUGAAAGCUAUAGAAGAGUCUCAAGUUGCUGUAAUCAUUUUCUCAAAAAAUUAUGCUACGUCGAGUUGGUGCUUGGAUGAACUAGUGAAGAUUAUGGAAUGCAAGGAGGAAGAAAAUGGACAAACAGUCAUACCGGUGUUCUAUGAUGUGGAUCCAUCACAUGUUCAAAACCAAAAGGAGAGCUUUGCAGAAGCCUUUGCCAAACACGAAUCAAAGUAUAAGGAUGAUGCUGAAGGAAUGCAGAAGGUUCAAGGAUGGAGGAAUGCCCUAACUGCUGCUGCAGAUCUAAAAGGAUUCGAUAUCCGUAACGGGUGAGUUAAAAUAACAUAAUUGCUUUUCAUGAAAGAAGAAACAGAAUUAUUUCCAUUCAAAUUUGGAUGCUUCUAUGAAGACUACCUACCAAAAUGAGUCAAUCAGAAUAUUAUAUAUUUCUUAAAUAAUUUUUCAUAUUUUCUAAAAAUAGAAUAAUUAUAUAGUUCUAUCUAUAAGAAGGCAUAGUUCCUAUUAGUUUUAUUGCUCAAUGACAUUGUUAGGUAGAUAAUAUGUUGAUUGGUUCUUCAAGAGUUCGGUCUUUUCAGUAAGAAGGCAUAGUCCUAUCAAUUAAAAGCAUAUAAAAGAAUGAUGGUAGAUUAAAUAUGUUUCUGUCAGUAAGAAGGCACAGUCCUGUUUAAUUAGAGAGAACACAUAAAAAUCCUCAUAAACUAUUCAAGUUUUGCAACUUACAUAUAGAUUGUUGCUAUUACCCUUAACAACAUGAAAUACUUACUUAUACUUGACUUUCUCACAUUUUCCACAAUCAAUCUUCUUAUUUAUGUAGGAUUAAAUAUGAGAAUAUUCAGCAGAUCGUCGCCCACAUCUCUUCCAAAUUAGGCAAUAGUGCUUAUUCUUUAUCUUCUUUGAAAGAUGUUGUGGGAAUACAUGCUCAUUUAGAGAAACUAAAAUCCCGACUUGAAAUAGAAAUUGAUGAUGUUCGGAUCUUAGGGAUCUGGGGAACAGGUGGAAUUGGUAAAACGACAAUAGCAAAAGCCAUCUUUCAUACUCUAUCUUAUCAAUUUAAAGCUGCUUGUUUUCUCGAGGAUGUUAAAGAAAAUGCCAAAAAGAAUCAACUGCAUUAUUUACAAAAUACUCUUCUCUCUGAACUGUUAGUAGAGACUGAUGAUUAUGUCAAUAAUAAGAAAGAGGGGAAGUGCAUGAUUCCGAGCAGACUUUCUUCUAUGAAGGUGCUAAUUGUGCUUGAUGACAUUGAUGAAAGAGAUCAUUUGGAGUAUUUAGCAGGUGAUGUUGGUUGGUUUGGUAGUGGCAGCAGAGUUGUUGUAACAACUAGAAAUAGAGCUUUGAUAAAGAAUGCUGAUGCAAUAUAUGAAGUGCCUACACUACCUGAUCUUGAAGCUUUGCAACUGUUCAAUCAGUAUGCUUUCAAAAAAGAAGUUCCAGAUGAGCGUUUUAAGAAAUUCUCGUUGGAGGUAGUAGAUCAUGCUAAAGGCCUUCCUUUAGCCCUCAAGGUGUGGGGUUCUUUGUUGCAUAGGAAAGACCUAAGUCAGUGGAGAAGAAUUAUAGACUAUAUAGAGAAAAACUAUAGUUCAGGGAUUGUUCAAAAAACUCAAAAUUAGUUAUGAUGGGUUGGAUCCCAUGAACAACAGAUAUUUCUAGAUAUAGCUUGUUUUUUCCGAGGAGAUGAAAAAAAGAAAGUCAUGCAAAUCCUUGAGAGCUGUGAUUUUGGAGCUGAUGGAUUGGAUGUCCUAAUUGACAAAUCUCUUGUGUUCUUAACUGAAGAUGAUACAAUUGAAAUGCAUGACUUAAUACAAGAUAUGGGUAAAUAUAUAGUGAAAAUUCAAAAGGAUGCAGGCGAAUGUAGCAGAAUAUGGGACUAUGAAGAUUUUGAAGAAGUGAUGGUCAACAAUAAAG